GAUGAACGCUGGCGGCGUGCCUAAUACAUGCAAGUAGAACGCAGAGGAUUGGUGCUUGCACUAAUCUAAUGAGUUGCGAACGGGUGAGUAACGCGUAGGUAACCUGCCUGGUAGCGGGGGAUAACUAUUGGAAACGAUAGCUAAUACCGCAUAAUAGUUUAUGACUCAUGUUAUAAACUUGAAAGAUACAACUGUAUCACUACCAGAUGGACCUGCGUUGUAUUAGCUAGUAGGUAGGGUAACGGCCUACCUAGGCGACGAUACAUAGCCGACCUGAGAGGGUGAUCGGCCACACUGGGACUGAGACACGGCCCAGACUCCUACGGGAGGCAGCAGUAGGGAAUCUUCGGCAAUGGGGGGAACCCUGACCGAGCAACGCCGCGUGAGUGAAGAAGGUUUUCGGAUCGUAAAGCUCCGUUGUUAAGGAAGAACGGGAGUAGGAGUGGAAAGCCUACUUUGUGACGGUACUUAACCAGAAAGGGACGGCUAACUACGUGCCAGCAGCCGCGGUAAUACGUAGGUCCCGAGCGUUAUCCGGAUUUAUUGGGCGUAAAGCGAGCGCAGGCGGUUAGAUAAGUCUGGAGUAAAAGGCUAUGGCUCAACCAUAGUGUGCUCUGGAAACUGUUUAACUUGAGUGCAGGAGGGGAGAGUGGAAUUCCAUGUGUAGCGGUGAAAUGCGUAGAUAUAUGGAGGAACACCGGUGGCGAAAGCGGCUCUCUGGUCUGUAACUGACGCUGAGGCUCGAAAGCGUGGGGAGCGAACAGG
rnacentral:rRNA from 1 species